GUUGACUACGUUAGGAGGACGAAGAUAGCUAGCCUCGAUAAUUACUCAAUUACUCUAAACUACACAAUUAUCUUUGAUACAAAGACGGCUAUGUAGCUAGCUAAGAAGAAUUGCUCAGAUCAAACAAAUCAAGCCGUUGUAAUGUAGUGAAGUGUGUUAACCUGAGUGGAGGGUAAAGGCCUGUCUGAAGUGGUCUGUUAACCUGAGUGGAGGGUAAAGGCCUGUCUGAAGUGGUCUGUUAACCUGAGUGGAGGGUAAAGGCCUGUCUGAAGUGGUCUGUUAACCUGAGUGGAGGGUAAAGGCCUGUCUGAAGUGGUCUGUUAACCUGAGUGGAGGGUAAAGGCCUGUCUGAAGUGGUCUGUUAACCUGAGUGGAGGGUAAAGGCCUGUCUGAAGGAGACACUUUGCUGGCCUGGUUGCAUCCCAAAUGGCACCCUAUUCCCUAUAUACUGCACUACUUUAGGCCAGAGCCCUUUGGGCCAUUUGACACAGCCUGCUGUUACUGCCCCAGGUGUGUGUGUGUGUGUGUGUGUGUGUGUGUGUGUGUGUGUGCUGUCACUACCCUAGAUGUGUGUGUGUGCUGUCACUACCCCAGGUGUGUGUGUGUGUGUGUGUGUGUGUGUGUGUGUGUGUGUGUGUGUGUGUGUGUGUGUGUGUGUGUGUGUGUGUGUGUGUGUGUGCUGUCACUACCCCAGAUGUGUGUGCUGUCACUACUCCAGAUGUGUGUGCUGUCACUACUCCAGAUGUGUGUGCUGUCACUACCCCAGAUGUGUGUGCUGUCACUACCCCAGAUGUGUGUGCUGUCUCUACCCCAGAUGUGUGUGUGUGUGUGUGUGUGUGCUGUCACUACCCCAGGUGUGUGUGUGCUGUCACUACC
rnacentral:lncRNA from 1 species